AGUGAUUUAUAAUGAGCGCUAAAAAAAAAAAAACUAUGUAAUGCAGUUUAUUUUAUUAUCACGUGCUGACAUAACCUGAGACUAAAAGCUGUGAUAUACAUUUUGUCCACUAGAGAGAGCCAAAUUAUAUGGACAAGGCCUAUUUGAAAGUGAAAGUCCUGACAUUUACCAAGUAACCCAUCCUCGGAGCUGGUGCUCUGCAUUUAACCCAUCCAAGUGCACACACACAGCAGUGAGAAGUGAACACACACCCGGAGCAGUGGGCAGCUACAGAUCCAGCGCUGGGGAGCAACUGGGGGUUCAGUGCCAGGGUAUUGAGUUCAGUCCAUGGGUAUUGAGGGUGGAAGAGAGCGCUGUUCAUUCACUCACUCCCACCUACAACUCCUGCCAGCACCGAGACUUGAACCGGAUACCUUCUUGUAAGUAGUCCAAGUCUCUAACAAUUAGGCCACAAACUUGUGCGAACUUCUAUGUCAAAAUCAAAUUCUCCAGUCAAAAACCCUUACAUGAUCUAUCAAUAUCAAACUUUGGCCUCAGAUGACAAAACCUACAGUACAAAUACACACACUACAAUAGUUUAGCUUCCUUAAAUAUAAUAAGUUAUCUUUACUUAGUUGUUAUACUUACUAGGUUUUAUUAAGUUACAAAAUUUGCUAAUUUUAAGGCAAAUAAAACAACAUGCUGCAAUGAGUAAUUCUUUCUUAAAAUAUUCAAGUAGCUACAACAAAACCGAUGACAUUAAUUCACCAGUGAGAGGCAGCAGUGCGCUAAUGUGCAACAGGAACAAAACAACAGAAGAAGAAAUAAGGACGGUGAGCAUGCGCAGCAAGCAAAGUUUUGAAGCUGCGUCGAAUUUGCUGAAACUGAGAAGUAAAAAGACUGUUUACAUUUCACCUCUGGACAAAGAAUGAUUGAUUACUUCUACACAAUAAUAAUAAGGAAAAAAGCUUGUGUCAUCUGUCUUCUCUGAGCAGCGGUCUUGUGAUCACCGGUCUCAGUAUAAUAAAGAUUUGACAGAACUACACACCCAUCUGAUGCCUACCUGUUUUAAUUCAUGAUCCCCCCGGAUACUUCUACAACUAACCCGCCUUGGUGUCUGAUGCUGAUGCAAUCUGGGCACUAGUAUCUGUUGGCUUGCUGACUAUCACUGACGAUGAAGUACUUCUCCAAAUCUUGACCCAGUGUCUUCUGCCAUCAUUGUUCAGGGUAGUACUGCAAAGAAUAGUCUCCAGGGUCUGCCUCCAACAUUUGCUUCCCGACCACCAUGUGCUACGUUUGCAUCACUGCUACAUGUGGGUUACCCUGAUACUGUGAAGAGCGCCUACAAUAUGAUGCUUGACUUGGGACAGAAAAAAAAACAUUGGCAACUUGUGUGGCCAACUCAUUGCCGUAUUUAAAAUCAUUGUACUGCUACCUCCAUUGUUUAACAUAACUAAAAGCAGAUUGUUUUUGCUUUGUUUCAAAAUUUUUGUAAUACGAGUUAAAACUACAUUGAAAAAAAUAUAUCAUCUUUAACUUUGAA